GGAAGCGUCGCAUAGCGGUCUAGUGCAACGGCUUGGAAAGCCGUGGCCCUUUUGGGCCUCGUGGGUUCGAAUCCCACCGCUUCCGCCA
rnacentral:tRNA from 1 species